rnacentral:rRNA from 1 species
UACGGAGGGUGCGAGCGUUGUCCGGAGUCACUGGGCGUAAAGGGCGCGUAGGUGGCGCGGGCAGUCAACGGUGAAAGCUCGGGGCUCAACCCCGAGUCGGCCGUGCGAACUGGGCUCACUGGAGCAUAGUAGAGGCAGGUGGAAUUCCGGGUGUAGCGGUGGAAUGCGUAGAGAUCCGGAAGAACACCGGUGGCGAAGGCGGCCUGCUGGGCUAUGGCUGACACUGAGGCGCGACAGCGUGGGGAGCAAACAGG